UGGGAAUCUGCCCUCAGGUACGGAAUAACUCAGGGAAACUUGAGCUAAUACCGCAUAAUGUCUUCGGACCAAAGAUUUAUCGCCUGGGGAUGAGCCCGCGUAGGAUUAGCUUGUUGGUGAAGGUAAAAGCUCACCAAGGCGACGAUCCUUAGCUGGUCUGAGAGGAUGAUCAGCCACACGUGGGACUGAGACACGGCCCAGACCUCCGUACGGGAGCAG
rnacentral:rRNA from 1 species